ensembl:lncRNA
CAGGGAUGACCAAGCAUUGAGCGGGAUGACCUUUGUCUCCCUUCUCCCAGCAGAGAUGGGAAGUGGAAGCUGGAGGGUCCCACAUCCCCAGAUAGGAUAAGGCUCCCAAAGAGAGGCUCAUGGGACAUAAUCUAAACACAGCCCUCAACACCUUAGUCUGCUUGCUCUAACCUCCCAACCUGUCAGGCUGGCAGCUUCAUAAUCAUGAGAUGAAACAGAGUAAGGACAGGGACUCCCUUCAUCUGGAGAAAACAGAGGCUCCUCAUUGCCAUCUGACUUUGCUGGAGUCACGCAGAGCUGGCAGCAGAGCCAGGGUUAUCUUGGCCUCGGUGUUCCCUCUUACCCCUUGUUUCUGCUCUUUCCCUGUCAGACUUGCUGCGUGG